rnacentral:lncRNA from 1 species
GACUAGAAGGAUCUGUCCAUGAUAAUAGCUGGUUGACAAGUGCCUCAAGGUCAGCAAUUGAAGAAGUGGCUGAUUGUUGAGCAUAUUCAGACUCAGGUGACACAAUAUUCGCAACUACAGCAGUCUUGGAAAAAGAAAAACUCUGAGAAGCAUGUAGACGUGUUAGUUUUAUGCAAUCAACAACUUUGUGACCUCUAAUAUUAUAGAAGGAAUAUUUUUCUAUAAAUCCAGUAUUUUAACCCUCAGGGGCAUUCCCGAUAACUCCAAUAGGUUGAGUGGAAACUUUAGUUGUCUAUCGAUGAGAAAAAGUAGCUGUCACA